UUGGAGGCAUUGAACAGUGUUGUUAUAAAAUUUUUCUUCGAACAAAUAAAUAGUGACCACAUAUUCAUAUGCGUCGCAAAUUUAUUAUUAUUUUACAAAGCUGAUAUUUUAUUCAUAUCUAAUUGAUUACUUUGCAUUUUAUAGGACAGGAUGUUGUCUUUAUGAUGGAGAAUAGUAAUUUGUGAUUCGUCAUAGCUCUGGUACGUAACUCACGCUACCUUUUGAAAACUUCAUGAAAACACAAAUUCAACCAAUAUUUGACAUUUUAGCUUUUUAAAGGAUAUUAAAAGAAAUGUUGGAAAAGUGAUUGUUAAAAUCGAAAAGUCUCAGAACCAUUUCGAAGAUUAUGGUGUGUUAUGAACUGAAAGCGUCGGCUCAUGUUAUGAUGUUGAACAAUUCACGUCACCAAGGAGAACUGAGUAAAAAAGUUAAUUUGAAAGAUCAUUUGCGAUGAACUGUAAAGGCAGCCAAGUUAACUUUUCAAAAUGUUUAUUAUUCUUC